rnacentral:rRNA from 1 species
AGCGAACGCUGGCGGCAGGCCUAACACAUGCCAGUCGAACGAACUCUUCGGAGUUAGUGGCGGACGGGUGAGUAACACGUGGGAACGUGCCUUUUGGUUCGGAAUAACUCAGGGAAACUUGUGCUAAUACCGAAUGUGCCCUUCGGGGGAAAGAUUUAUCGCCAUUAGAGCGGCCCGCGUCUGAUUAGCUAGUUGGUGAGGUAACGGCUCACCAAGGCGACGAUCAGUAGCUGGUCUGAGAGGAUGACCAGCCACACUGGGACUGAGACACGGCCCAGACUCCUACGGGAGGCAGCAGUGGGGAAUCGUGCGCAAUGGGCGAAAGCCUGACGCAGCCAUGCCGCGUGAAUGAUGAAGGUCUUAGGAUUGUAAAAUUCUUUCACCGGGGACGAUAAUGACGGUACCCGGAGAAGAAGCCCCGGCUAACUUCGUG